GAUGAACGCUGGCGGCGUGCCUAAUACAUGCAAGUCGAGCGAACGGACGAGAAGCUUGCUUCUCUGAUGUUAGCGGCGGACGGGUGAGUAACACGUGGAUAACCUACCUAUAAGACUGGGAUAACUUCGGGAAACCGGAGCUAAUACCGGAUAAUAUUUUGAACCGCAUGGUUCAAAAGUGAAAGACGGUCUUGCUGUCACUUAUAGAUGGAUCCGCGCUGCAUUAGCUAGUUGGUAAGGUAACGGCUUACCAAGGCAACGAUGCAUAGCCGACCUGAGAGGGUGAUCGGCCACACUGGAACUGAGACACGGUCCAGACUCCUACGGGAGGCAGCAGUAGGGAAUCUUCCGCAAUGGGCGAAAGCCUGACGGAGCAACGCCGCGUGAGUGAUGAAGGUCUUCGGAUCGUAAAACUCUGUUAUUAGGGAAGAACAUAUGUGUAAGUAACUGUGCACAUCUUGACGGUACCUAAUCAGAAAGCCACGGCUAACUACGUGCCAGCAGCCGCGGUAAUACGUAGGUGGCAAGCGUUAUCCGGAAUUAUUGGGCGUAAAGCGCGCGUAGGCGGUUUUUUAAGUCUGAUGUGAAAGCCCACGGCUCAACCGUGGAGGGUCAUUGGAAACUGGAAAACUUGAGUGCAGAAGAGGAAAGUGGAAUUCCAUGUGUAGCGGUGAAAUGCGCAGAGAUAUGGAGGAACACCAGUGGCGAAGGCGACUUUCUGGUCUGUAACUGACGCUGACGUGCGAAAGCGUGGGGAUCAAACAGGAUUAGAUACCCUGGUAGUCCACGCCGUAAACGAUGAGUGCUAAGUGUUAGGGGGUUUCCGCCCCUUAGUGCUGCAGCUAACGCAUUAAGCACUCCGCCUGGGGAGUACGACCGCAAGGUUGAAACUCAAAGGAAUUGACGGGGACCCGCACAAGCGGUGGAGCAUGUGGUUUAAUUCGAAGCAACGCGAAGAACCUUACCAAAUCUUGACAUCCUUUGACAACUCUAGAGAUAGAGCCUUCUCCUUCGGGGGACAAAGUGACAGGUGGUGCAUGGUUGUCGUCAGCUCGUGUCGUGAGAUGUUGGGUUAAGUCCCGCAACGAGCGCAACCCUUAAGCUUAGUUGCCAUCAUUAAGUUGGGCACUCUAAGUUGACUGCCGGUGACAAACCGGAGGAAGGUGGGGAUGACGUCAAAUCAUCAUGCCCCUUAUGAUUUGGGCUACACACGUGCUACAAUGGACAAUACAAAGGGCAGCGAAACCGCGAGGUCAAGCAAAUCCCAUAAAGUUGUUCUCAGUUCGGAUUGUAGUCUGCAACUCGACUACAUGAAGCUGGAAUCGCUAGUAAUCGUAGAUCAGCAUGCUACGGUGAAUACGUUCCCGGGUCU
rnacentral:rRNA from 1 species